GUCCAGGAGCGGGAAUCGAACCCACAACCUUCUGCUUACCGGGCAGGUGCCAUGUCCACUAGACUAUCCUGGA